AUUGAACGCUGGCGGCAGGCCUAACACAUGCAAGUCGAACGAGUGGCGGACGGGUGAGUAAUGUCUGGGAAACUGCCUGAUGGAGGGGGAUCACUACUGGAAACGGUAGCUAAUACCGCAUACCCACGGGUGUGCCCAGAUGGGAUUCGCUAGUAGGGGGGGUAAAGGCUCACCUAGGCGACGCUCCCUAGCUGGUCGGAGAGGAUGACGGUCGCCACUGGAACUGAGACACGUUCCAAUCGUCUCAGGGAGGAAGCAGUGGGGAAUAUUGCACAAUGGGCGAGAGCCUGAUGCAGCCAUGCCGCGUGUAUGAAGAGGGCCUUCGGGUUGUAAAGUACUUUCAGCGGGGAGGCGUUACCCGCAGAAGAAGCACCGGCUAACUCCGUGCCAGCAGCCGCGGUAAUAC
rnacentral:rRNA from 1 species